GUAGGUGGCAAGCGUUGUCCGGAAUUAUUGGGCGUAAAGCGCGCGCAGGCGGUUCUUUAAGUCUGAUGUGAAAGCCCACGGCUCAACCGUGGAGGGUCAUUGGAAACUGGAGGACUUGAGUACAGAAGAGGAAAGCGGAAUUCCACGUGUAGCGGUGAAAUGCGUAGAGAUGUGGAGGAACACCAGUGGCGAAGGCGGCUUUCUGGUCUGUAACUGACGCUGAGGCGCGAAAGCGUGGGGAGCAAACAGGGAUUAGAUACCCUGGUAGUCCACGCCGUAAACGAUGAGUGCUAAGUGUUAGGGGGGUUUUCCGGCCCCCCUUAGUGCUGCAGCUAACGCAUUAAGCACUCCGCCUGGGGAGUACGGCCGCAAGGCUG
rnacentral:rRNA from 1 species